GGGGAUUCACUAUCCAGGACCAGCGGAAGUUAGUUGUAUGAAACUGAGCCUCCCUUGCCAUCCCUUUCGCAAUGUCUGUUUCCAAUUCCCAGAGACAGUAGACUCUGUGAGGAGCAGCGAUUCUCAGUCUUGUCUCUCUGGCACUUAACCCACACCUGAUGGCUUAAUCAGUCUUGCUAUGUAGCCCCUAUACUCACAAGCUUGCCCUAGUGGGACCACAGAACUGUGCCAGCACACCCAUCUUCCUGCUUCCUCACUGACCGGCAGCAUUUGCGUCUAAGAAGGUGCC
rnacentral:sRNA from 1 species